rnacentral:rRNA from 1 species
UGUCCUGUGACUGCGUACCUUUUGUAUAAUGGGUCAGCGACUUAUAUUCAGUGGCAAGGUUAACCAUCUAGGGGAGCCGUAGGGAAACCGAGUCUUAACUGGGCGUUCAGUCUCUGGAUAUAGACCCGAAACCAGGUGAUCUAGCCAUGGGCAGGUUGAAGGUUGAGUAACAUCAACUGGAGGACCGAACCGACUAAUGUUGAAAAAUUAGCGGAUGACUUGUGGCUAGGGGUGAAAGGCCAAUCAAACCUGGAGAUAGCUGGUUCUCCCCGAAAGCUAUUUAGGUAGCGCCUCGGACGAAUACUACUGGGGGUAGAGCACUGUUAAGGCUAGGGGGUCAUCCCGACUUACCAACCCUUUGCAAACUCCGAAUACCAGUAAGUACUAUCCGGGAGACACACGGCGGGUGCUAACGUCCGUCGUGGAGAGGGAAACAACCCAGACCGCCAGCUAAGGUCCCAAAUUACUACUAAGUGGGAAACGAUGUGGGAAGGCUCAGACAGCCAGGAUGUUGGCUUAGAAGCAGCCAUCAUUUAAAGAAAGCGUAAUAGCUCACUGGUCGAGUCGGCCUGCGCGGAAGAUGUAACGGGGCUAAGUAGUAAACCGAAGCUGCGGCAAUGUGCUUUUGCACAUUGGGUAGGGGAGCGUUCUGUAAGCGGUUGAAGGUGUGUGGUAACGCAUGCUGGACGUAUCAGAAGUGCGAAUGCUGACAUGAGUAACGAUAAAGGGGGUGAAAAACCUCCUCGCCGGAAGACCAAGGGUUCCUGUCCAACGUUAAUCGGGGCAGGGUAAGUCGACCCCUAAGGCGAGGCCGAAAGGCGUAGUCGAUGGGAAACGGGUUAAUAUUCCCGUACUUCUUACAAUUGCGAUGGGGGGACGGAGAAGGCUAGGUGGGCCUGGCGACGGUUGUCCAGGUUCAAGUGCGUAGGCUUAAGAGUUAGGUAAAUCCGGCUCUUUUUAAGGCUGAGACACGACGUCGAGCAUCUACGGAUGUGAAGUCAUUGAUGCCAUGCUUCCAGGAAAAGCCUCUAAGCUUCAGAUUGUAAGGAAUCGUACCCCAAACCGACACAGGUGGUCGGGUAGAGAAUACCAAGGCGCUUGAGAGAACUCGGGUGAAGGAACUAGGCAAAAUGGUACCGUAACUUCGGGAGAAGGUACGCUCUCGACGGUGAAGUCCCUCGCGGAUGGAGCUAUUGAGAGUCGCAGAUACCAGGUGGCUGCAACUGUUUAUUAAAAACACAGCACUGUGCAAAAUCGUAAGAUGACGUAUACGGUGUGACGCCUGCCCGGUGCCGGAAGGUUAAUUGAUGGGGUUAGACUUCGGUCGAAGCUCUUGAUCGAAGCCCCGGUAAACGGCGGCCGUAACUAUAACGGUCCUAAGGUAGCGAAAUUCCUUGUCGGGUAAGUUCCGACCUGCACGAAUGGCGUAAUGAUGGCCACGCUGUCUCCACCCGAGACUCAGUGAAAUUGAAAUCGCUGUGAAGAUGCAGUGUACCCGCGGCUAGACGGAAAGACCCCGUGAACCUUUACUACAGCUUGGCACUGAACAUUGACCCUACAUGUGUAGGAUAGGUGGGAGGCUUUGAAGCACGUACGCCAGUAUGUGUGGAGCCGUCCUUGAAAUACCACCCUUGUAGUGUUGAUGUUCUAACGUCGACCCCUUAUCGGGGUUGCGGACAGUGCCUGGUGGGUAGUUUGACUGGGGCGGUCUCCUCCCAAAGAGUAACGGAGGAGCACGAAGGUGGGCUAAUCACGGUUGGACAUCGUGAGGUUAGUGCAAUGGCAUAAGCCCGCUUGACUGCGAGAAUGACAAUUCGAGCAGGUGCGAAAGCAGGUCAUAGUGAUCCGGUGGUUCUGAAUGGAAGGGCCAUCGCUCAACGGAUAAAAGGUACUCCGGGGAUAACAGGCUGAUACCGCCCAAGAGUUCAUAUCGACGGCGGUGUUUGGCACCUCGAUGUCGGCUCAUCACAUCCUGGGGCUGAAGUCGGUCCCAAGGGUAUGGCUGUUCGCCAUUUAAAGUGGUACGCGAGCUGGGUUUAGAACGUCGUGAGACAGUUCGGUCCCUAUCUGCCGUGGGCGUUGGAAGAUUGAAGGGGGCUGCUCCUAGUACGAGAGGACCGGAGUGGACGAACCUCUGGUGUUCGGGUUGUGUCGCCAGACGCAUUGCCCGGUAGCUAAGUUCGGAAUCGAUAACCGCUGAAAGCAUCUAAGCGGGAAGCGAGCCCUGAGAUGAGUCUUCCCUGAUACUUUAAGUAUCCUAAAGGGUUGUCGGAGACUACGACGUUGAUAGGUCAGGUGUGUAAGUGCUGUGAGGCAUUGAGCUAACUGAUACUAAUUGCCCGUGAGGCUUAACCAUACAACACCCAAGGGGUUU